CAAGAAACGAGGCUACGUGCCCCGCUCUUUACCUUGCCUACUGCACUAUCUGUUGCUUCCUGGCGGCGGUUUGCCUGCCGCCAGGGACAUUGUAAAGCCCUGUAUUAGCAUUAAAAAACUGAAACAAACCGAAUCGUA
rnacentral:misc_RNA from 1 species